GAUGAGAACGCAGCGAAAUGCGAUAAGUAGUGUGAAUUGCAGAAUUCAGUGAAUCAUCGAAUCUUUGAACGCACAUUGCGCCCUGUGGUAUUCCGCAGGGCAUGCCUGUUCGAGCGUCAUUGACACCCUCAAGCUCUGCUUGGUCUUGGGCGUUUGUGCCUGCCGUUGCGCAGGGACUCGCCUCAAACUCAUUGGCAGCCUGCCUUUGCCGGUCUUUGCACAGCACAGUCGUGCCAAAGCCGCGGUGAGCAGGCGCUCCACAAGCCCUUUUCAGCUUGACCUCGGAUCAGGUAGGAAUACCCGCUGAACUUAAGCAUAUCAAUAAGCGGAGGA
rnacentral:misc_RNA from 1 species